rnacentral:rRNA from 1 species
UACGAAGGGGGCUAGCGUUGCUCGGAAUUACUGGGCGUAAAGGGCGCGUAGGCGGUUUGUCGCGUCUGCCGUGAAAAUCCGGGGCUCAACCCCGGACUUGCGGUGGGUACGGGCAGACUAGAGUGUGGUAGGGGAGACUGGAAUUCCUGGUGUAGCGGUGAAAUGCGCAGAUAUCAGGAGGAACACCGAUGGCGAAGGCAGGUCUCUGGGCCACUACUGACGCUGAGAAGCGAAAGCGUGGGGAGCGAACAGG